AACGAACGCUGGCGGCAUGCCUAACACAUGCAAGUCGAACGAGACCUUCGGGUCUAGUGGCGCACGGGUGCGUAACGCGUGGGAACCUGCCCUUAGGUUCGGAAUAACUCCCCGAAAGGGGUGCUAAUACCGGAUAAUGUCUUCGGACCAAAGAUUUAUCGCCUUUGGAUGGGCCCGCGUUGGAUUAGCUAGUUGGUAGGGUAAAAGCCUACCAAGGCGACGAUCCAUAGCUGGUCUGAGAGGAUGAUCAGCCACACUGGGACUGAGACACGGCCCAGACUCCUACGGGAGGGAGGAGUGGGGAAUACUGGACAAUGGGCGAAAGCCUGAUCCAGCAAUGCCGCGGGAGUGAUGAAGGCCUUAGGGUUGUAAAGCUCUUUUACCCGGGAUGAUAAUGACGGUACCGGGAGAAUAAGCUCCGGCUAACUCCGUG
rnacentral:rRNA from 1 species